GGCGGCGUCCUGGCGGGCCCGGUGGCGGCGGCGUCCUGGAGGGCCCGGUGGCGGCGGCGUCCUGGAGGGCCCGGUGGCGGCGGCUCCUCAUCCAGUAAAGCUAAACUCUUCUCCAGUGCAUCAUGAACGGGGAGGAAUGUCCGGGGUGCAAAUAGAACGUGUGUCUCAUUUCAGAAGAAAUGAGGCGACGUUGCGGAGGUCCAGGCGGUUGGCCCGGUGGAGGUCCUGGAGGAGACGGUCCCGGCGGUGGAGGACGGCUGGGGGAUCCGGCGGUGGAGGUCCGAAGGCGGCUCGUGAUUAGACCAACCAGCUCCUCAUCAUGGAAGGAUUGAAGGAGUCACUGGGGAUGAAGAUCACUGCUCAGGGGCUGACGACCACUCAUCUUUCCGGAGAAGGCGGUCAAACCUCCACCUCUUUGAAGAGACCAAGCAGCUUGAUGACUGACUGGUUCUUUAUACUCAAGACUUCGUCCCGGAGCAGAGGACGGACCUAAGGCCCUCAGCGCAGCCGACUAGAGACUCCAUGUGGAACCGGAUCAAUUAAGUUGACCUCUCCUUCAGGCGACUUAAAGGGAGACCAGAUGUGCGGCAGCUGGGUGUCAUGGUGCAGAGACCCAACGCUGUACUGAACUACACCAGUGUGUCCUACUCCCAUAAACCCUGAGGAUCCCUGGAUGGCUACACUAGCACAUUAAUCCACACCCAACAUCAACACACAGUGCACACUCUAUAGAGCUCGUAAGUCCGCCCCUUGCGGCGGGACCUUGUGAGAUCGUAAGAUAUGACUGGGUUUCAAUGGAGAGAAAGUAAUUAUUUUUUCCAUUUUAUGUUGCACCACAUUUUGGGAGAAGAAUGUUUGAAUCAAUCUUUGUCAUUUAUUUCCGUACUCCAUAUCUGUAAUCCCAGCUGUUGUAUUUUAACACGGUAGCUGGGAACCCUCUUUAUAGGGAGCGACUAGAGGGACGAGGCUGGAAGCAAACCUGAGCCUGGAUCUUAACCUUCUUUCUAAACCUAAUGCCGCAAUUUAACCGCAAAUAAAGUGAGGCCUAAAGUAACUUGACUCUCUUACCUAAACAUGCUUGCCUAAACUCUCUUGUCUAAACUCGCUUGCAUAAAACCUAAACUCGCUUGCAUAAAACCUGAACUUGCUUGGCUAAACUCGCGUCGCUUGCCUAAUACCUGAACUUGCUUGCCUAAACUCGCUUGCCUAAUACCUGAACUCGCUUGCCUAAACUCACUUGUCUAAACUCGCUUGCCUAAAACCUAA